GGAGAAGUGACAGAGUGGCCGAAUGUGCUUGAUUCGAAAUCAAGUGAACUCUUACGAGUUCCGAGGGUUCAAAUCCCUCCUUCUCCGCCA
rnacentral:tRNA from 1 species